rnacentral:rRNA from 1 species
UACAUGGGGUGCAAACGUUGCUCGGAAUUAUUGGGGCGUAAAGCGCACGUAGGCGGUUUGUUAAGUCGGAUGUGAAAUCCCUCGGCUCAACUGAGGAAGUGCAUCCGAAACUGGCAGGCUUGAGUACUAAAGAGGGUCGCGGAAUUCCCGGUGUAGAGGUGAAAUUCGUAGAUAUCGGGAGGAACACCGGUGGCGAAGGCGGCUUUCUGGACGAUAACUGACGCUGAGACGCGAAAGCGUGGGGGAGCAAACAGG